rnacentral:rRNA from 1 species
AACGAACGCUGGCGGCAGGCCUAACACAUGCAAGUCGAGCGAGGACUUCGGUUCUAGCGGCGGACGGGUGCGUAACGCGUGGGAAUGUGCCCUUCUCUACGGAAUAGCCCUGGGAAACUGGGAGUAAUACCGUAUACGCCCUAUUGGGGAAAGAUUUAUCGGAGAAGGAUCAGCCCGCGUUGGAUUAGGUAGUUGGUGGGGUAAUGGCCUACCAAGCCGACGAUCCAUAGCUGGUUUGAGAGGAUGAUCAGCCACACUGGGACUGAGACACGGCCCAGACUCCUACGGGAGGCAGCAGUGGGGAAUCUUAGACAAUGGGGGCAACCCUGAUCUAGCCAUGCCGCGUGAGUGAUGAAGGCCUUAGGGUUGUAAAGCUCUUUCAGCUGGGAAGAUAAUGACGGUACCAGCAGAAGAAGCCCCGGCUAACUCCGUG